CCUACGGGAGGCAGCAGUGGGGAAUUUUGGACAAUGGGGGAAACCCUGAUCCAGCCAUGCCGCGUGAGUGAAGAAGGCCUUCGGGUUGUAAAGCUCUUUCGGCUGGGAAGAAAUCGCACAGGCUAAUACUCUGUGUGGAUGACGGUACCAGCACAAGAAGCACCGGCUAACUACGUGCCAGCAGCCGCGGUAAUACGUAGGGUGCGAGCGUUAAUCGGAAUUACUGGGCGUAAAGCGUGCGCAGGCGGUUGUGCAAGACAGAUGUGAAAUCCCCGGGCUCAACCUGGGAACUGCAUUUGUGACUGCACGACUAGAGUACGGCAGAGGGGGGUAGAAUUCCACGUGUAGCAGUGAAAUGCGUAGAGAUGUGGAGGAAUACCGAUGGCGAAGGCAGCCCCCUGGGUCGAUACUGACGCUCAUGCACGAAAGCGUGGGGAGCAAACAGGAUUAGAUACCCUGGUAGUCCACGCCCUAAACGAUGUCAACUAGGUGUUGGGUGGGUAAAACCAUUUAGUACCGUAGCUAACGCGUGAAGUUGACCGCCUGGGGAGUACGGUCGCAAGAUUAAAACUCAAAGGAAUUGACGG
rnacentral:rRNA from 1 species